CCCUCAAAGCUAACUGAUUACCACUAGUUUUGGAGAGACAGUUUUUGUGUUAGCCCAGAGGUGGUUCAGACUCGUCAUAAGAAGAGUUUUUCUUUAUUGUCUGCAUCACCUCUUUUAGAAUCCGUUAAUUUUCUUGAUUUUGGGAGGGGCUGCUACUUAGAGUGCAUGUUUUAGAAGAAUACAAAAUACAGCUUUGGGAUUCUUUAUAGUCAGGAAUGAACAUUAUAAUACAUUUAAAAGCUCAAAAAGUUGACUUUGCAUGCUGUAGGCCCUUAAACAUUCUUAUAGUAGUUGUGUAGCACUGCUCUACUGUUUUCUACAUAGAUGCACUUUGUGUUUUCUUCUAUAAAUUACUUAUAUGUCUCUUUUUUAAAAUGGACAACUGUGGGGGAAGAACGUUGAUAUUUUUGGGUGAAGAAGACCACCGGGUUCCAUCAACAUCAGGAGCUCUGGUAGAUGGUGACCUCUUCAGAGUGGUGGGACGAAUCAUAGGGCAUUCUUUCCUCAAUCGUGGACCAUUGCUCUGGGGCUUAAGUAAUUGUCUGCUACCACUCAUAUGUGGAGACAAACUUGCUACCCCAGUUUUUGAGAUGAAAGACUGCCCUGACUCAGACAUCACAGACAUUGUCUUUCUUUUUGAAAGUGAAAGAGACCUCACAGAGGUUGAUAAGGGAGAGGUAAACCAGUUGGAAAUGAGUUGGGACCUGCCAAUGGUUACCAUCCAAAACCGUUGUUGGUUGGCGGAAAGAGUCCUGUAUCAUGGAGUCAUUGGUCGACGACUGCAGCAGAUUGCCCAAAUCAGAGCUGGGCUAAAAGAUCCGGGGGUGCUGCAGAUGCUAAAGCAGCGCCCUGACUUUACAGCAGUUCUUUUUCCAAGGGGGGCUGAAGAAGUUUUGGAGCCUGAGGUUUAAAACACUUGCAGUGCACAGUGUAGAAUACAAUAGCUGUCAUACUAAAUUAUCAGUUUAAAUUGUCAACUUAAUUUAGACCAAUACUAACUUGUACAGACUAAUCUUUGCUAGUUUUGUUUGUAUUGUGCUAAAUUAUUGAAGCUCAAAUCUCUUUUCUUAGUUUGUUCUUCAAAGAGUUCUUUGGCCAGAGCCAGACAGUGACAAGGAGGACAACAUUAAAGUGCUUUGCAAAGCCACUUCAUUUCUAAGGGCUUACAUUA